AGGAGGAGGCUCCGAAAUGACGCGAAGCGGCAUUUAUCGCAUGGAGCCGACGAUAUGCCGCCGAGGCGAAGCUAGGGGGCGAUACCAAGG
rnacentral:sRNA from 12 species